CGGCGGGAGCCCCGGGGA
rnacentral:ncRNA from 2 species